rnacentral:rRNA from 1 species
UACGUAGGGCGCAAGCGUUGUCCGGAUUCACUGGGCGUAAAGGGUGCGCAGGCGGCCAAGUGUGUGAGGCGUGAAAGCCCGGGGCUUAACCCCGGAAUUGCACCUCAAACUACAUGGCUAGAGCAUUGGAGAGGGUAGCAGAAUUCACGGUGUAGCAGUGAAAUACGUAGAUAUCGUGAGGAAUACCAGAGGCGAAGGCGGCUACCUGGACAAUUGCUGACGCUCAGGCACGAAAGCGUGGGGAGCAAAAGGG